AGGUGGGAGGAUUGCUUGAGCCUGGGAGGUGGAGGUUGCAGUGAGCCGAGAUCACGCCACUGCACUCCAGCCUGG
rnacentral:miRNA from 1 species